GGCGUUUUUUGCAUUUUUCACACACAAACAAAUACUAACGCUAACUUUGGCCAGUGUUUGUGACCAAAUGGCUACUAAAAAAGACUGGACAUACCCCAUUUGCAAUACCUUGGGUUGUCUACUAUUGCAAAUGGUAUGCCAUUAUGGGUGUAAAUUUCAUUCCCGGGCUGCUAUACAGUCUCAAAGGCAACGUAACCAAUCUGGCGAAUUUCAAUUUCAAAUGUAACGUGCUAUAUUUGACCCUGUAACUUCCCAAAACGCCAUAAAACCUGUACAUAGGGGGUACUGUCUUACAUGUGAG